AGAGGGUGGUUUUCCUGAAGCAGCUGGCUAGUGGCUUAUUACUUGUGACUGGACCUCUGGUCCUCAAUCGAGUUCCUCUACGAAGAACACACCAGAAAUUUGUCAUUGCCACUUCAACCAAAAUCGAUAUCAGCAAUGUAAAAAUCCCAAAACAUCUUACUGAUGCUUACUUCAAGAAGAAGAAGCUGCGGAAGCCCAGACACCAGGAAGGUGAGAUCUUCGACACAGAAAAAGAGGUAAGUUUCUACUUGUCAUCUCCUGUGUUAGCACUGGCCCUUCUACCUGGGAGUGAAAAGAAACAGGUUGCACAAAAAGAAGAAAAAUGAAAGGUUAAAUAAUGAGGAAUGCUGGGAGAUACUUAGUAUUCCAGAUUCUUCUAAAUUGAGUAGUUCUUUUGGCAGUCUGGGAGCUCAACUUAGAAUCCUAAAGUUUGGUGGAAUUGUGUGGGAAUUAACUGCUACCAUCGUAUUGGGAAUGUGCCCUUACUUAUCCUUGAUGUGUCCUAAAGUAUACAAAAGCUUAAGAGCUACUUUUAUUACAUUAAAAAAUGGGUUGUGUUUCACAGCAUUCCAAGGAAAGGAUUGUCAAAAUUGUCUUUAAUGUUUUCUAAAUAUUCUUGGGGAUUAGUACUUGUGAGACAGGACUCCUUAGUUGACCUACAAGUAAUUUGGUAUGUGCCUGUUUUAAAAUGUUUGAUUUUCUCUUUAUUUAGAAAUAUGAGAUUACGGAGCAGCGCAAGAUUGAUCAGAAAGCUGUGGACUCACAAAUUUUACCAAAAAUCAAAGCUAUUCCUCAGCUCCAGGGCUACCUGCGAUCUGUGUUUGCUCUGACGAAUGGAAUUUAUCCUCACAAAUUGGUGUUCUAAAUGUCUUAAGAACCUAAUUAAAUAGCUGACUACA
rnacentral:lncRNA from 1 species